UACGUAGGGUGCGAGCGUUGUCCGGAAUCACUGGGCGUAAAGGGCGCGUAGGCGGCGCGGAUAGUCGGCGGUGAAAGCCCGGAGCUCAACUCCGGGUCGGCCGUCGAUACUUCCGGGCUUGAGCACUGUAGAGGCAGAUGGAAUUCCGGGUGUAGCGGUGGAAUGCGUAGAGAUCCGGAAGAACACCGGUGGCGAAGGCGGUCUGCUGGGCAGUUGCUGGACGCUGAGACGCGAAAAGCGUGGGGAGCGAACAGG
rnacentral:rRNA from 1 species